AUUGAACGCUGGCGGCAGGCCUAACACAUGCAAGUCGAAUGGUAACAGGAAACAGCUUGCUGUUUCGCUGACGAGUGGCGGACGGGUGAGUAAUGUCUGGGAAACUGCCUGAUGGAGGGGGAUAACUACUGGAAACGGUAGCUAAUACCGCAUAACGUCGCAAGACCAAAGAGGGGGACCUUCGGGCCUCUUGCCAUCAGAUGUGCCCAGAUGGGAUUAGCUAGUAGGUGGGGUAACGGCUCACCUAGGCGACGAUCCCUAGCUGGUCUGAGAGGAUGACCAGCCACACUGGAACUGAGACACGGUCCAGACUCCUACGGGAGGCAGCAGUGGGGAAUAUUGCACAAUGGGCGCAAGCCUGAUGCAGCCAUGCCGCGUGUAUGAAGAAGGCCUUCGGUUGUAAGUACGUUUCUAGCGGGAGGAAGGGAGUAAGUAUACUU
rnacentral:rRNA from 1 species